rnacentral:rRNA from 1 species
UCACAUGACUCUCGGCAACGGAUAUCUCGGCUCUUGCAUCGAUGAAGAACGUAGCAAAAUGCGAUACCUGGUGUGAAUUGCAGAAUCCCGUGAACCAUCGAGUUUUUGAACGCAAGUUGCGCCCGAGGCCUUGUGGCCGAGGGCACGUCUGCCUGGGCGUCACGC